AACGAACGCUGGCGGCGUGCUUAACACAUGCAAGUCGAACGGUGAACCGGGCUUCGGCCCGGGGAUCAGUGGCGAACGGGUGCGUAACACGUGGGCAACCUGCCCCAGACACUGGGAUAACUCCGGGAAACCGGGGCUAAUACCGGAUACUCCGGUCGAACCUCAUGGUUCGAUCGGGAAAGCUCCGACGGUCUGGGAUGGGCCCGCGGCCUAUCAGCUUGUUGGCGAGGUAACGGCUCACCAAGGCGACGACGGGUAGCUGGUCUGAGAGGACGACCAGCCACACUGGAACUGAGAUACGGUCCAGACUCCUACGGGAGGCAGCAGUGGGGAAUCUUGCACAAUGGGCGAAAGCCUGAUGCAGCGACGCCGCGUGGGGGACGAAUGCCUUCGGGUUGUAAACCCCUUUCAGUUGGGACGAAGGCCGGCGCGUUAAUAGCGUGUCCGGUUGACGGUACCUUCAUAAGAAGCCCCGGCUAACUACGUGCCAGCAGCCGCGGUAAGACGUAGGGGACGAGCGUUGUCCGGAUUCAUUGGGCGUAAAGCGCGCGUAGGCGGUUUGGUAAGUCGGAUGUGAAAACCAGAGGCUCAACCUCUGGCCUGCAUCCGAUACUGCCCGACUAGAGGUAGGUAGGGGAGAUCGGAAUUCCUGGUGUAGCGGUGAAAUGCGCAGAUAUCAGGAGGAACACCGGUGGCGAAGGCGGAUCUCUGGGCCUUACCUGACGCUGAGGAGCGAAAGCAUGGGGAGCGAACGGGAUUAGAUACCCUGGUAGUCCAUGCCGUAAACGUUGGGCACUAGGUGUGGGGAGGAGUCAACCCUUUCCGUGCCGUAGCUAACGCAUUAAGUGCCCCGCCUGGGGAGUACGGCCGCAAGGCUAAAACUCAAAGGAAUUGACGGGGGCCCGCACAAGCGGCGGAGCAUGUUGCUUAAUUCGAGGCAACGCGAAGAACCUUACCUGGGUUUGACAUGUACCGAAAAGCCGUAGAGAUACGGUGUCCUUCGGGGCGGUACACAGGUGGUGCAUGGCUGUCGUCAGCUCGUGUCGUGAGAUGUUGGGUUAAGUCCCGCAACGAGCGCAACCCUUAUCCUAUGUUGCCAGCGCGUAAUGGCGGGGACUCGUGGGAGACUGCCGGGGUCAACUCGGAGGAAGGUGGGGACGACGUCAAGUCAUCAUGCCCCUUAUGUCCAGGGCUGCAAACAUGCUACAAUGGCUGGUACAACGGGCUGCGAGACCGCGAGGUCAAGCGAAUCCCUAAAAGCCAGUCUCAGUUCGGAUUGAAGUCUGCAACUCGACUUCAUGAAGCUGGAGUCGCUAGUAAUCCCGGAUCAGCAACGCCGGGGUGAAUACGUUCCCGGGCCUUGUACACACCGCCCGUCACACCACGAAAGUUGGCAACACCCGAAGUCAGUGGCCCAACCCUUUUGGGAGGGAGCUGCCGAAGGUGGGGUUAGCGAUUGGGGUGAAGUCGUAACAAGGUAGCCGUACCGGAAGG
rnacentral:rRNA from 1 species